rnacentral:rRNA from 1 species
AACGAACGCUGGCGGCAUGCCUAACACAUGCAAGUCGAACGAGACCUUCGGGUCUAGUGGCGCACGGGUGCGUAACGCGUGGGAACCUGCCCUUAGGUUCGGAAUAACUCCCCGAAAGGGGUGCUAAUACCGGAUAAUGUCUUCGGACCAAAGAUUUAUCGCCUUUGGAUGGGCCCGCGUUUGAUUAGCUAGUUGGUAGGGUAAAAGCCUACCAAGGCGACGAUCCAUAGCUGGUCUGAGAGGAUGAUCAGCCACACUGGGACUGAGACACGGCCCAGACUCCUACGGGAGGCAGCAGUGGGGAAUAUUGGACAAUGGGCGAAAGCCUGAUCCAGCAAUGCCGCGUGAGUGAUGAAGGCCUUAGGGUUGUAAAGCUCUUUUACCCGGGAUGAUAAUGACAGUACCGGGAGAAUAAGCGCCGGCUAACUCCGUG